GAAUUUUGGACAAUGGGCGAAAGCCUGAUCCAGCAAUGCCGCGUGCAGGAUGAAGGCCUUCGGGUUGUAAACUGCUUUUGUACGGAACGAAGAGCUUUGGGUUAAUACCCUUGAGUCAUGACAGUACCGUAAGAAAAAGCACAGGCCAACUGCGUGCCAGCAGCCGCGGGAAUACGUAGGGUGCAAGCGUUGAUCGGACUUACUGGGCGUAAGGCGUGCGCAGGCGGUUUUGUAAGACAGCGGUGAAAUCCCCGGGCUCAACCUGGGAACUGCCUUUGUGACUGCAAGGCUAGAGUACGGCAGAGGGGGGUGGAAUUCCGCGUGUAGCAGUGAAAUGCGUAGAUAUGCGGAGGAACACCGAUGGCGAAGGCAACCCCCUGGGCCUGUACUGACGCUCAUGCACGAAAGCGUGGGGAGCUAACA
rnacentral:rRNA from 1 species